UACGGGGGGGGGCAAGCGUUGUUCGGAAUUACUGGGCGUAACGGGCUCGUAGGCGGCCAACUAAGUCAGACGUGAAAUCCCUCGGCUUAACCGGGGAACUGCGUCUGAUACUGGUUGGCUUGAGUGUGGGAGAGGGAUGCGGAAUUCCAGGUGUAGCGGUGAAAUGCGUAGAUAUCAGGAGGAACACCAAUGGCGAAGGCAGCUCGCUGGAACGGUACUGACGCUGAGGCGCGAAAGCGUGGGGAGCGAACAGG
rnacentral:rRNA from 1 species